rnacentral:tRNA from 1 species
GGUAAGUUAGCUCAGUGGCAGAGCGUAGUUGUACGGGUAUUUACAACUAAGGUCGGGAGUUCGAAUCUUCUGCUUGCCU